UACGUAGGGUGCGAGCGUUGUCCGGAAUUAUUGGGCGUAAAGAGCUUGUAGGCGGUCUGUCGCGUCUGCUGUGAAAAUCCGGGGCUCAACCCCGGACCUGCAGUGGGUACGGGCAGACUAGAGUGUGGUAGGGGAGACUGGAAUUCCUGGUGUAGCGGUGAAAUUCGUAGAUAUCGGGAGGAACACCGGUGGCGAAGGCGGCGACCUGGGUCGAGACUGACGCUGAGGCGCGAAAGCGUGGGGAGCAA
rnacentral:rRNA from 1 species